rnacentral:rRNA from 1 species
GCAGUCGAGCGGACAGAUGGGAGCUUGCUCCCUGAUGUUAGCGGCGGACGGGUGAGUAACACGUGGGUAACCUGCCUGUAAGACUGGGAUAACUCCGGGAAACCGGGGCUAAUACCGGAUGCUUGUUUGAACCGCAUGGUUCAAACAUAAAAGGUGGCUUCGGCUACCACUUACAGAUGGACCCGCGGCGCAUUAGCUAGUUGGUGAGGUAACGGCUCACCAAGGCAACGAUGCGUAGCCGACCUGAGAGGGUGAUCGGCCACACUGGGACUGAGACACGGCCCAAACUCCUACGGGAGGCAGCAGUAGGGAAUCUUCCGCAAUGGACGAAAGUCUGACGGAGCAACGCCGCGUGAGUGAUGAAGGUUUUCGGAUCGUAAAGCUCUGUUGUUAGGGAAGAACAAGUGCCGUUCAAAUAGGGCGGCACCUUGACGGUACCUAACCAGAAAGCCACGGCUAACUACGUGCCAGCAGCCGCGGUAAUACGUAGGUGGCAAGCGUUGUCCGGAAUUAUUGGGCGUAAAGGGCUCGCAGGCGGUUUCUUAAGUCUGAUGUGAAAGCCCCCGGCUCAACCGGGGAGGGUCAUUGGAAACUGGGGAACUUGAGUGCAGAAGAGGAGAGUGGAAUUCCACGUGUAGCGGUGAAAUGCGUAGAGAUGUGGAGGAACACCAGUGGCGAAGGCGACUCUCUGGUCUGUAACUGACGCUGAGGAGCGAAAGCGUGGGGAGCGAACAGGAUUAGAUACCCUGGUAGUCCACGCCGUAAACGAUGAGUGCUAAGUGUUAGGGGGUUUCCGCCCCUUAGUGCUGCAGCUAACGCAUUAAGCACUCCGCCUGGGGAGUACGGUCGCAAGACUGAAACUCAAAGGAAUUGACGGGGGCCCGCACAAGCGGUGGAGCAUGUGGUUUAAUUCGAAGCAACGCGAAGAACCUUACCAGGUCUUGACAUCCUCUGACAAUCCUAGAGAUAGGACGUCCCCUUCGGGGGCAGAGUGACAGGUGGUGCAUGGUUGUCGUCAGCUCGUGUCGUGAGAUGUUGGGUUAAGUCCCGCAACGAGCGCAACCCUUGAUCUUAGUUGCCAGCAUUCAGUUGGGCACUCUAAGGUGACUGCCGGUGACAAACCGGAGGAAGGUGGGGAUGACGUCAAAUCAUCAUGCCCCUUAUGACCUGGGCUACACACGUGCUACAAUGGACAGAACAAAGGGCAGCGAAACCGCGAGGUUAAGCCAAUCCCACAAAUCUGUUCUCAGUUCGGAUCGCAGUCUGCAACUCGACUGCGUGAAGCUGGAAUCGCUAGUAAUCGCGGAUCAGCAUGCCGCGGUGAAUACGUUCCCGGGCCUUGUACACACCGCCCGUCACACCACGAGAGUUUGUAACACCCGAAGUCGGUGAGGUAACCUUUAGGAGCCAGCCGCCGAAG